GUGAAUCAUCAAAUUUUUGAACGCAAAUUGCACUCCCUGGUAUUCCGGGGAGUAUGCCUGUUUGAGGGUCGUUAGAACAAAAAUCGAAGCGUCGCUCUUUUUUUUAAGGGUGAUCGCGGCGUAAUUUAGCCGUCUUUCAAAUUUAAAUUCUUGUCAAAUUGGCUUAAUAUUCAUCCAUCCUGUACGACU
rnacentral:misc_RNA from 1 species